AAGUAUUAAAGGUCCCGCCUGCCCAGUGAAUAUCUUUUUCAACGGCCGCGGUAUUCUAACCGUGCAAAGGUAGCGUAAUCACUUGUCUUCUAAAUAAAGACUAGUAUGAACGGCUAAAUGAGGGCAAACCUGUCUCUUAUAACCAAUCAGUGAAACUGAUCUUCCAGUACAAAAGCUGGAAUUUAAACAUAAGACGAGAAGACCCCGUGGAGCUUAAAAUAAUAACUAACCCACACCGGCACUAAUACAUUAUUUUAAGUUGGGGCGACUUCGGAAUAAAACAAAACUUCCGAGCACAAGAACCACCACUUCUAACCAAGGCCUACAAGCCUAAGCUAAAAAUGACCCGGCCACGCCGAUCAACGAACCAAGUUACCCCGGGGAUAACAGCGCUAUCUUCUUCAAGAGUCCCUAUCAACAAGAAGGUUUACGACCUCGAUGUUGGAUCAGGACACCCAAAUGGUGCAGCCGCUAUUAAAGGUUCGUUUGUUCAACGAUUAACAGUCCUACGUGAUCUGAGUUCAGACCGGAG
rnacentral:rRNA from 1 species